AGUCCUGUGAUCGAUGCUCAUAUGCUUGAGCUAAUAACAUUACUGAACCAAAAGGGGGCGUUCGUUAGGUUUUAGUCCAGUGUGUAUCAGUGUCGAGAAUCGCUGUUCUUCGCAUUGAGUAACUGUACUAAAGCAGGAGCAGAAAGCAACCAUGACCGAUUAUGUGCAGGAACAAGAGAUGGAAAUAGAAGCUUUAGAAGCUAUCCUUAUGGAUGACUUCAAGGAAAUUCACCCUGGUGAAAGUGGGCUGAGCACAUCCAGUAGGUGCUUUCAAAUUGCUAUAUCUCCUCAGGAGGAGGAAGCAGAUGAACCAACAAAUUCAUCAGUUCGACUUGCUUUAAUUUUCUCACACACUGAAAAGUAUCCCGAUGAGCCCCCACUUUUGAAUGUCCAAAGCUUAAAGGGAAUCCACUCUGGAGACCUUAAAAUUUUGAAAGAAAAGCUAGAGCAAGAGGCAACUGAGAAUCUUGGUAUGGCAAUGAUCUACACAUUGGUCACGUCAGCAAAAGAGUGGCUAUCUGAACUAUUUGCUCAGGAUGGUGAUGAUGAAAAUGCUGGAGAAGAUGAAGUGGCAAAAGAUGAGGUAAUUGUGCCACAUGGAGAACCAGUGACUGUUGAAACAUUCACGGCAUGGAGAGAAAGAUAUGAGGCUGAACUAGCCCUGGAAAGAGCCAAGUUAAUGCCGGAUUCUGCCCUUUCAGCACCCAAGGAAAAGAGGCUGUCAGGCAGACAAUGGUUUGAAAGUGGAAGAGCAUCUUCGAAGGGUGCAACAGCUGUUGCUGAAGAAUCUGAUGAAGGCGAAGAAGACAUUGAUUUCGACGAUGAAGACUUCGAAGACGAUGAGGACGAUAUGCUUGAGCACUAUCUAGCCGAGAAAUCAGUAUCAUCCUCCCAUUCAUGAUUUUGGAGGGCUGGACUAUUUUUAGUGCUCUGCAGAAUAUUGCACUGCUUUUUUGGGGUGGAGUUUUAUAAAUGCAUAAGAACAGAGUACACAAAAUGGAGCCAAGAAUUAAGAUAACGUAUUUUAUAAAUUUGGACUUUACUCUACGGUCCACGCAAUAAUGAUUAAUUUUUUUUUGGUCACGUUUAUAAAUUUGGACUGUACUCUAUAGUAUUAUACCCUUUAAAGAGGGCUAAAAAUAAGAUGUUAUGACCUUUAAGAAUUUAAGUUUGAGAAUUAUAUUUCACCUAUUUGGUUAUU